rnacentral:rRNA from 1 species
GACGAACGCUGGCGGCGCGCCUAACACAUGCAAGUCGAACGGAGCGUGCGCGGAGAAGCCCUUCGGGGCCAAUCUAUGCAUUGCUUAGUGGCGAACGGGUGAGUAACACGUGAGUAACCUACCUUCGAGCGGGGGACAACAUUUGGAAACAGAUGCUAAUACCGCAUAAGACCCCAGUACCGCAUGGUACGGAGGCCAAAGGAUUUAUCCACUUGAAGAUGGACUCGCGUCUGAUUAGAUAGUUGGUGGGGUAAUGGCCCACCAAGUCUGCGAUCAGUAGCCGGACUGAGAGGUUGAACGGCCACAUUGGGACUGAGACACGGCCCAGACUCCUACGGGAGGCAGCAGUGGGGAAUAUUGCACAAUGGGCGAAAGCCUGAUGCAGCGACGCCGCGUGAGGGAAGAAGGUUUUCGGAUUGUAAACCUCUGUCUUCGGGGACGAUAAUGACGGUACCCGAGGAGGAAGCCACGGCUAACUACGUGCCAGCCGCCGCAGUAAAAC